CACACAGGAAGAUCUCACAGUCCCUCACCAUGGUCAGGGUGAAGAAAUGAUUACCGUGAAAGUGAAGAUUAAAGAGGAAGAAGAAGAUGACGCAUACGUGAGGGACGAUCCAUCUGUGGUGACGAUUAAAGUGGAGGAAUCCGAUGUAGACAUCGGCACGGAUGGAUCCAGUAAGAGGAACCCACCAGAGAGAUG